UACGUAGGUGGCGAGCGUUAUCCGGAUUUACUGGGUGUAAAGGGUGUGUAGGCGGGAAGGCAAGUCAGAUGUGAAAACUAUGGGCUCAACCCAUAGCCUGCAUUUGAAACUGUUUUUCUUGAGAGUCGGAGAGGUAAGUGGAAUUCCCGGUGUAGCGGUGAAAUGCGUAGAUAUCGGGAGGAACAUCUGUGGCGAAGGCGACUUACUGGACGAUUACUGACGCUGAGACACGAAAGCGUGGGGAGCAAACAGG
rnacentral:rRNA from 1 species